AGGUAAAGCUUCGGCGCUUAAGGAGGGGCUGCGGCCCAUCAGCUAGUUGGUAGGGUAACGGCCUACCAAGGCAAAGACGGGUAGGGUGUGUGAGAGCAUGACCCCCCACAAUGGGACUGAGACACGGNCCAUACUCCUACGGGAGGCAGCAGCAGGGAAUAUCGCACAAUGGACGGAAGUCUGAUGCAGCGACGCCGCGUGGAUGAUGAAGGCCCUCGGGUCGUAAAAUCCUUUUCAGGGGGAAGAGGAAGGACGGUACCCCUGGAAUAAGCGUCGGCUAACUACGUGCCAGCAGCCGCGGUAAGACGUAGGACGCAAGCGUUAUUCGGAUUUACUGGGCGUAAAGCGUCUGUAGGCGGUUGGGUAAGUUGGGCGUGAAAGCUCCGUGCUCAAACGCGGAGGGGUCGUUCAAUACUGCCGAACUAGAGGACAUCAGAGGAGCAUGGAAUUUCCGGUGUAGCGGUAAAAAUGCGCAGAUUUCGGAAGGAACACCCAGUGGCAAAGGCGGUGCUCUGGGGUGUGCCUGACGCUGAGAGAACGAAAGCUAGGGGACCGAACAGGAUUAGAGACCC
rnacentral:rRNA from 1 species